rnacentral:rRNA from 1 species
UGGGGAAUUUUGGACAAUGGGCGCAAGCCUGAUCCAGCAAUGCCGCGUGAGUGAAGAAGGCCUUCGGGUUGUAAAGCUCUUUUGUCAGGGAAGAAAGGCGCCGGCCAAUACCCGGCGCCGAUGACGGUACCUGAAGAAUAAGCACCGGCUAACUACGUGCCAGCAGCCGCGGUAAUACGUAGGGUGCAAGCGUUAAUCGGAAUUACUGGGCGUAAAGCGUGCGCAGGGCGGUUGGGCAAGACAGAUGUGAAAUCCCCGGGCUCAACCUGGGAAUGGCAUUUGUGACUGUCCGGCUAGAGUGUGUCAGAGGGGGGUAGAAUUCCACGUGUAGCAGUGAAAUGCGUAGAGAUGUGGAGGAAUACCGAUGGCGAAGGCAGCCCCCUGGGAUAACACUGACGCUCAUGCACGAAAGCGUGGGGAGCAAACAGGAUUAGAUACCCUGGUAGUCCACGCCCUAAACGAUGUCUACUAGUUGUCGGGUCUUAAUUGACUUGGUAACGCAGCUAACGC